rnacentral:rRNA from 2 species
UCGCAUGAUUCUUUUAUCAAAGAUUUAUUGCUUUGAGAUGGACCCGCGGCGCAUUAGCUAGUUGGUAAGGUAAUGGCUUACCAAGGCAACGAUGCGUAGCCGACCUGAGAGGGUGAUCGGCCACAUUGGAACUGAGACACGGUCCAGACUCCUACGGGAGGCAGCAGUGGGGAAUAUUGCGCAAUGGGGGAAACCCUGACGCAGCAACGCCGCGUGGGUGAUGAAGGUCUUCGGAUUGUAAAGCCCUGUUUUCUGGGACGAUAAUGACGGUACCAGAGGAGGAAGCCACGGCUAACUACGUGCCAGCAGCCGCGGUAAUACGUAGGUGGCGAGCGUUGUCCGGAUUUACUGGGCGUAAAGGGUGCGUAGGCGGAUGUUUAAGUGGGAUGUGAAAUCCCCGGGCUUAACCUGGGGGCUGCAUUCCAAACUGGAUAUCUAGAGUGCAGGAGAGGAAAGCGGAAUUCCUAGUGUAGCGGUGAAAUGCGUAGAGAUUAGGAAGAACACCAGUGGCGAAGGCGGCUUUCUGGACUGUAACUGACGCUGAGGCACGAAAGCGUGGGUAGCAAACAGGAUUAGAUACCCUGGUAGUCCACGCCGUAAACGAUGGAUACU